GCGUCGGUAGUGCAAAUGGUUGAAGCACACGCUCCCGAAAAGGGUUAGAGAUGCGCGUUCAAUUCCCGCCUGACGUCA